rnacentral:rRNA from 1 species
UACGUAGGGUGCGAGCGUUGUCCGGAAUUAUUGGGCGUAAAGAGCUCGUAGGCGGUUUGUCGCGUCGACUGUGAAAACCUGGGGCUUAACUCUGGGCCUGCAGUCGAUACGGGCAGACUUGAGUUCGGUAGGGGAGACUGGAAUUCCUGGUGUAGCGGUGAAAUGCGUAGAUAUCUGGAGGAACACCGGUGGCGAAGGCGGCAUCCUGGACCAACACUGACGCUGAGUGAGCGAAAGCCAGGGGAGCAAACGGG